CAGCCGCCGCGGUAAUACGUAAGGAGCGAGCGUUGUUCGGAAUUAUUGGGCGUAAAGGGCAUGUAGGCGGUUACGUAAGUCUGAUGUGAAAUACUACAGCUUAACUGUGGGAACGCAUUGGAAACUGUGUGACUUGAAUCUGUGAGGGGUAACUGGAAUUCCUAGUGUAGGGGUGAAAUCUGUUGAUAUUAGGAAGAACACCGAUGGCGAAGGCAAGUUACUGGCACAUGAUUGACGCUGAGAUGCGAAAGCGUAGGGAGCGAACAGGAUUAGAUACCCUGGUAGUCUACGCUGUAAACGAUGUGCACUUGGUGUCGGGGUUUCUAAGCCUCGGUGCCGUAGCUAACGCGUUAAGUGCACCGCCUGGGGAGUAUGCCGUCAACGGUGAAACUCAAAGGAAUUGACGGGGGCCCGCACAAGCGGUGGAGCAUGUGGUUUAAUUCGAUGAUACGCGAGAAACCUUACCAGGGUUUGACAUAUUUAUGAUCGACGUAGAGAUACGUAAUUCCCUUCGGGGACAUUUAUACAGGUGCUGCAUGGUUGUCGUCAGCUCGUGCCGUGAGGUGUUGGGUUAAGUCCCGCAACGAGCGCAACCCCUAUUGUCUGUUACCAUCAUUAAGUUGGGGACUCAGGCAAGACUGCCGGUGACAAACCGGAGGAAGGUGGGGACGACGUCAAAUCAUCAUGGCCCUUAUAUCCUGGGCUACACACGUGCUACAAUGGCCAGUACAGAGUGAUGCGAAGCCGCGAGGUGGAGCAAAACGCAGAAAGCUGGUCUCAGUUCGGAUUGGAGUCUGAAACUCGACUCCAUGAAGGUGGAAUCGCUAGUAAUCGCGCAUCAGCAUGGCGCGGUGAAUACGUUCCCGGGCCUUGUACACACCGCCCGUCACACCACCCGAGUUGGGGGUACCCGAAGUCGCUAGUCUAACCUGCAAAGGAGGACGGCGCCGAAGGUAUGCCUGGUAAGGGGGGUGAAGUCGUAACAAGGUAACCGUA
rnacentral:rRNA from 1 species